GGAAAACGAAUAUUCCUUAAUUCAAACUAAUUACCCUAAUUAAAUCCCAUUUAAUUAGAGAAGUUAUCUUUGAUAUAAGAUAGGAAUAUCUCCCUAAAUCAAGGAACCAAUCUCCGCAAAAUCUCUUGGAGUAAUUCCUAUAAUCUUUUUAGGGAAGAAUAAUCCUAACCAAAUAAGGUUAUUCUCCCAAAACCCUAGUACAGAAGGAGACUAUAAAUACGCGGCUACACAAAAAUAAUUCCGAA
rnacentral:lncRNA from 1 species